UGGAAGGAAGUGAAAGUGGAAUACUAUCAAGUUCACAGUAUUGCAAGUUUAACUCUAACAGAGAAGGAAGCAUAUUAAUAGCUUGAAGCCAAUCAUGCCCUACAUCUUGGAGUUUAACAUAACCCAUGUUCAGGUACUUUAAAGAAGAUAGACCUGAAAGCCAAUGCAGAUUAUCAGCGCGUAGCUCCCACGCGCCUGCAUUGCUAUGUGAU
rnacentral:lncRNA from 1 species